rnacentral:rRNA from 1 species
AAGGAUGCGUCGUGCCUAAUACAUGCAAGUCGAACGCACAGCGAAAGGUGCUUGCACCUUUGAAGUGAGUGGAGAACGGGUGAGUAACACGUGGAAACCUACCUCAAGGUUGGGGAUAACAUUUGGAAACAGAUGCUAAUACCGAUGAGACUUCUUGUUGCAUGACAGGAAGUUAAAAGGCGCUACGGCGUCGCCUAGAGAUGGAUCCGCGGUGCAUUAGUUAGUUGGUGGGGUAAAGGCCUACCAAGACAAUGAUGCAUAGCGAGUUGAGAGACUGAUCGGCACAUUGGGACUGAGACACGGCCCAAACUCCUACGGGAGCUGCAGUAGGGAAUCUUCCCAAUGGGCGAAGCCUGAUGGAGCAACGCCGCGUGUGUGAUGAAGGCUUUCGGGUCGUAAGCACUGUUGUAUGGGAAGAACAGCUGUAGGGAAUGACUUUAGUUUGACGGUACCAUACCAGAAAUGGACGGCUAUUACGUGCCAGCAGCCGCGGUAAUACGUAUGUCCCGAGCGUUAUCCGGAUUUAUUGGGCGUAAAGCGAGAGCAGACGGUUGAUUAAGUCUGAUGUGAAAGCCCGGAGCUGAACUGGGGAAAGGCAUUGGAAACUGGUCAACUUGAGUGCAGUAGAGGUAUGUGGGACGUGAGUGUGUAGCGGUGGAAUGGCGGAGGUAGUGGCCAUUGACGC